rnacentral:lncRNA from 1 species
AUCAUUUAAUCGAAAGAUGAUAAUUUGUCAAUGAGCACCUGUAACCCGGUACUGCAUUUUUUUUUGCACGCGUCAAGAAACAGUUAAAAGUGCCGGGAUCUGACAGAGCUUUGAAGAGCUUAUUUUCUCGUAUGAUCUAUGUCUGUUACUGUGAAUGUAUUAUAUAUAUUUAUCACAAAAAGCUAGUGCUAUUUUCUUUUCUUUUAAUAUAAAGCCCCUCCCCUCCUCCAGCUUAUCUGAUUAAUUUACGAUCACUCUGAAUAAAGAAAGUAAGAAAGUCACAAUUC